AUUGAACGCUGGCGGCGUGCCUAAUACAUGCAAGUAGGACGCAGUUGCGAACGGGUGAGUAACGCGUAGGUAACUGCCUCUUAGAGGUGGAUCACUAUUGGAAACGAUAGCUCAUACCGCAUACUCGUAGAUGGACCUACGUUGUCUUAGCUAGUAGGUAGGGUAAUGGCCUACCUAGGCGACGAUACAUAGCCGAACUGAGAGGGUGAUCGGACACACGGGGAAUGAGACACGGCCCAGACUCCUACUGGAAGCAGAAGUAGGGAUGCGUCGGAAAUGGGGGGAACCCUGACCGAGCAACGCCGAGUGAGUGAAGAAGGUGUUCGGAUCGUAAAGCUCUGUUGUUAAGGAAGCGGUACUUAACCAGAAAGGGACGGCUAACUACGUGCCAGCAGCGGCGGUAAUUC
rnacentral:rRNA from 1 species